rnacentral:rRNA from 1 species
CAGUAGCCGCGGUAAAACGUAGGUGGCAAGCGUUGUCCGGAAUUAUUGGGCGUAAAGGGCUCGCAGGCGGUUUCUUAAGUCUGAUGUGAAAGCCCCCGGCUCAACCGGGGAGGGUCAUUGGAAACUGGGAAACUUGAGUGCAGAAGAGGAGAGUGGAAUUCCACGUGUAGCGGUGAAAUGCGUAGAGAUGUGGAGGAACACCAGUGGCGAAGGCGACUCUCUGGUCUGUAACUGACGCUGAGGAGCGAAAGCGUGGGGAGCGAACAGGAUUAGAUACCCCCGUAGUCCCUGUCUCUUAUAC